GCGGGGUGGUGCGGUCUCAGGGCGUGGCGCAUGCGCGGAGAGGGAGGCGAGCUCACUGCGGGUGGCGCUGGCGGCCCCUGUUAAGGUUAGGGUUGGAGCGCUGAAGCCAUUGCCCGGCCUCGGUUCCUUUCCCGGGUGCCGGCCUCCGUUGACUUUAGCGGAUCCGCUGCGAUUCCCCGCCAGUCAGCGACUCCGCGUUCCAUUGCUUGCCAGUGGGGACAUUCGAUGACGAUUUAUGCACUAGGAUGUCUCUCUCGAAUUUUUAAAGAAAAAGGAUGGAUAUAUGCAGUUACCACAUUAGCAUAAUUAUCGGAUGUUGGGAAAUGUUAGAAAUUCUUGCGUGGUAGGAAUACACAGAUGAUUAUUUAUACUUAUGUAUAUUCAAUUUUUCCACAGUAAAAACGAUGUAUUGUCAGCAAGGAACCCCAAGUAAACCUUAUUUAAAGUCUAAUGGAUGGGGAGCCUCACACUGGAAUAGGGGGUGUCUGUCCUGAGAACUCUCCUCAAUAAACCUGUGUGUGCUAAUUCUC